GAUGAACGCUGGCGGCGUGCCUAAUACAUGCAAGUCGAGCGAACGGACGAGAAGCUUGCUUCUCUGAUGUUAGCGGCGGACGGGUGAGUAACACGUGGAUAACCUACCUAUAAGACUGGGAUAACUUCGGGAAACCGGAGCUAAUACCGGAUAAUAUUUUGAACCGCAUGGUUCAAAAGUGAAAGACGGUCUUGCUGUCACUUAUAGAUGGAUCCGCGCUGCAUUAGCUAGUUGGUAAGGUAACGGCUUACCAAGGCAACGAUGCAUAGCCGACCUGAGAGGGUGAUCGGCCACACUGGAACUGAGACACGGUCCAGACUCCUACGGGAGGCAGCAGUAGGGAAUCUUCCGCAAUGGGCGAAAGCCUGCCGGAGCAACGCCGCGUGAGUGAUGAAGGUCUUCGGAUCUUAAACCUCUGUUAUUAGGGAAGAACAUAUGUGUAAGUAACUGUGCACAUCUUGACGGUACCUAAUCAGAAAGCCACGGCUAACUACGUG
rnacentral:rRNA from 1 species